UAUUUUUUAUGCGUUUGGUUCUUGCAUAACCUCAAUAAGUAAAUUCAUAGUUUCCAAUUUCUGUUGAAAUUGAUUGCAUAUAUAAGAUAGACAAGUUUUGGUUAACUGGAUCAAGAAUGUUAAAUAAAAUAUGUUUUUGCAAAUUUGGACGACAAUUAAUUGCAAUUAUGUACCAUUUCAACAAUAGAAGUAGUAUAGACUUGCAAAUCCAUACCAUUACAUCACAGGAAGUAGUAUGGUUGUCUGAGCGAAGCCAAUUGGAAGUACGUACCUCUUAGUGAAGCUAAUUGGGAGCACACCCUCUGUCUUGUUGCGAAGCUGAUUGGAAGCAGUACAUAUAUACCUCUGUCUGCAAAAAGCUAAUUAGAAGUAGUACCCCUGGCAGAGCGGUCCCAAUUAGAAGCAUGUAACUCUGAGGGAAGCCAAUUGGAAGCAUGUACCUCUGCAAAAUUUGAUCAAACAUUAUUCAACAAAUUUUAUUUAACAUUGUUUUUAAAGUUUAAUUUCAUACCAACUCUCAUUUUCUAUUUAUAAUUACUCCCCUUGUUGACAUUGUGACGUGCAAAUUAUCACUUCACUAUUUUGUACUCGCCUGUGGUUUUUAUCCUGAUGAAGAUGCACUAGAAACAGAAACAUGUAGAUAUUUUUAAAUUACUGCAGCACACCCUCAAGUAUUGUUAUAAUAAAGGGCCAAAUUUCUUAAAGUCAAAGGUGCAUAAUUUUAGUUUAUGCACCUUUAAAUGAUAACUUAACUUACUGUAACUUUUUGACAGCCAAGGUUCCUCAAGAUCUAUAGGGAGGCUGAUAUAAGUUUGCUGUCAAGGGCAUAUGAUACAGUAACAAGGGAGGUUAAAUGAUGUCACUUAUGUCUGAUGUUACUUUUCGCUAUGUCAAAUAGUUACAUAUAAAGAAAAGAUUGGUUCUUUGACUGAUUUUUAUCAUUCAGACUGAUUUAACUUGAAAAUGAGUUCAUGAACCCCC
rnacentral:lncRNA from 1 species